rnacentral:rRNA from 1 species
AGGACGAACGCUGGCGGCGUGCCUAACACAUGCAAGUCAAGGGGAAACGGGUAGCAAUAUCCGGAGUACACUGGCGCACGGGUGAGUAACGCGUAGGCAACCUGCCCAUAGGACGGGGAUAAUUCAGCGAAAGCUGGACUAAUACCCGAUGUUGAGACGUCAUCGCAUGGUGGUGUCUUGAAAAGCCCGCAAGGGUGCCGAUGGAUGGGCCUGCGUCCCAUUAGGUAGUUGGUAGGGUAACGGCCUACCAAGCCUGCGAUGGGUAGCUGGUCUGAGAGGAUGAUCAGCCACACUGGAACUGAGACACGGUCCAGACUCCUACGGGAGGCAGCAGUGAGGAAUAUUGCGCAAUGGCCGAAAGGCUGACGCAGCGACGCCGCGUGAAGGGAUGAAGUCCGUUAGGAUGUAAACCUCUUUUGCAGGGGAUGAAUGUCUCGCUAUACGCGGGAUUGACCGUACCCUGCGAAUAAGGAUCGGCUAACUACGUGCCAGCCGCCGC